rnacentral:telomerase_RNA from 1 species
ACGCACGACACCUCCCGUUCAGUUCUCCGACUCUCAUUUUCCGCGAGGAAUGUCUAUUGCAGACCUCUCAACGAAGGCUGCGAUUUCGCGAUACGUCGCAUCCGAGCCUGUAUCAGGACCUCGCGCUUGCCGCGGUUGGAGCUAUCGCGAUCUAUGGUUGUCUAUACCAGACAAUGCAGUCUAGUUGAGAGAAUGGGUUUCGGAACUUAACCCUAAGCAGCCUUUUGGUUCAAGUUUUGCGUCUGCAGUCGUCGACCCUGUCUUUUAAACCCGCACGAACUGCCGGGGAAGCGAUCGCCGCUGAAAAGUGGCAAGCCUCGCCGGGAGCCGUGGUAGGUGGACUGGCAGGGAAAACAUUCCAGUCACCGUCAGGUGCGCGAGAGGGGGUUGCUAUGAGUCGUCUGGGUAAGAGCCUCUGGUCUGAGGCCGCUCGUCAGGACCUAUCCGCUGGAACAGCACUCUGGCCAAGAGUAGGUCGCUGGGAGAAGACAGCUGUCGUGGUCUGCAGGAUUGCACUGGUAACGUCCUGCUUUUCGGGGUUCUAUGUCGUGCCAGUGUAAGAGGCUCGACUCUGCGUUGCUUGGUUUGGGGACAGAGCUCAGCGUCGGUCACACACAGUCAGUAUCGCAGUUUCAACCCGCAAUCUGCCUCAGUCUUGCCUCGCCGGCCGCACGACCAAUGUUGCGAGGAUUCCUAGGUCUACAAACAGAAACUUGUCGAUCUGACCACAUCAACCACGCUCAGCUCUCGGCUCUCUCCUUUCCGACACACGACCCCGAACUGGCUCGGCAGAGAAGAAAUGCCAGUGUCAGAUCCUGUAGCCAGCCAGCAAUUUUCCGAGCCACACCAAGGCAACUGCCACCGGUGUGACAUGCCCGCAUGUGAUCUGGCCAGGCGCAUCAGCCUCCAGUCGUGGGUUCUGUCCCACGACAUUGGGGGACGCCAAAUCCUCGUUGUUCCCCCCUGUGGAUCAACACUUGCCCAAUGGUCUUCCGGAAACGGGACCAAAGGAUGAGAGCGCGGUUUUUUGUGGAUGUCUUUUGUCCGCGCGGAAUGCCCUCCUUUUGCGAUUUGUCGCUGGAGAGGAAACAAAAACUAGUCCAAGGAGGUCGUGCGAACCAAACAGAGUGAGCUUCUUGGUUGCUUCGGACUACACAGAACUAGGCUUCGAUUCGCCGAACCUCGGAUGGCGAGAUAUAUGACGGCUGUGCUGAGUGAGCAAAGGCGACUCUGCGGGUGGCUUCGUGUCGGAGGCGGUGGCCGGCUGAACAGGUUCAAGGCGAUCCUGGGACCCAUCUCGUGUUGGAGUCAAAGUUUUGUGCUUGUCCGGGAUCGCGGUGGGCCUGGACUGCCAGUCUCCCUCAAACCGCUCGAAGUUUGUGCGCUUGUUGGAUCAAAAGGACAGGCCGUUGGAAGGUAGUCCUGGUUGUCGUCUCUCCAGAAAUGGCGAGACGGCAGCCCC